AUUUGACACGGACCGACGGUGGCCAGUUUGGGCCCCACAUUUGGUCGCGGUGCAAUGAC
rfam:Rhizobiales bacterium 62-47 SCNpilot_cont_300_bf_scaffold_11, whole genome shotgun sequence.